UAUGACAGAAACAAUGGAGAGACCAAAGAAGGAAUUUUGCAGUAUAUGUGCUUCUGAAAUUUGUUUCUGAUAGAAAUAAUACAUGUGUUACCACUAUGGACAUGUAUAUGCAGAAGGCACCCAGUGAGAACUCCUGGCUGAGAAAAAAUAAAGACUGGAAGUAUCAACGAGAAUAGCAACUAAUGUCAGGCAGAAAUCUGAGGGGAUAAUGGAAGGUAGAAAGAACGAUUCUGGAUGUAAAACUUCUUGUUCCAGAGCAGCUAAAUCAAAGACAUGAAUGAUGCAUGGGCAAUCAGUGGAUGAAGGUGACUGGGAAAAAAAAAAACAAAAACAAAAAGAAACAAAAAACAAAAAAAAAAGAAAAAAGAAAAAAAAAACAAGGCAGGGAAAGACUAGCUAGUGAAAAAGCUGCAGUAUAAAUUUUAUGUCUUCAAAGCUAUGAAGGAAAAACAAGCCAUGGCAAAUAAUGGAAACAAAAGUGAAACUGGCUGCCAAUUCAAAAGGUGAAGCUGAUACUAUAAUUCCUCAGAGACUGCCUAAGACAAUAUUUUUUUUCAAUAUUUGAGAGAGAUGUCAGGAUGAUGCACAUUUAGUUGAAAGAGUGGGAGACAGAAGACCAGAAAAUCACACUAGCACAACAAGAAGCCUUUAGGAAAACAGUAGUAAGGAAAACAAACAAGCCUAUUAUAGUAAAGUAGCAGAAAUCAGGCAGGUAUUGUCUCCUGGGAACCAAAAUAUAGUGUUGAAGAAGAUUCCAAAGGCAGAAAGGGAGAGGCUACUCUUUGUUUUUCAUAUAAAUCAGCUUGGAUCUCCUGCUCACAGAUCAAAUGAGUGUUCAAGUAAUAAAGCAGUUUAAAGAAGUGGAAGCACAAGUAAUCCUCAGAAAGGAAUCUUCUUGUCCAUAGCAAAUAAAAAUGGCCCAGAAAACUGUCACUGAAUUUUUGUGAUGUCUGAGCACAGUAAACAUUGAAAGUAUAUGCAUGAUAGUGCACUUGAGUAAAGAGUUCAGGAGUUUCCACAGAAAUAAUGUGGAAAGUAAGAUCAAGGUUGUUGUAAGUUUUCAUCUAGAAGGGAGAAGACGCAAAACCACUUGUACUACAACAAUGCUUCAUGUAAAAAUACAAACAAAUAAAGGAGAGAAACACUGCAAUGUUCAAGAGAAACACCUUGAAGUACCAACCAGGACAUUGGCAUCUAUACAUCAGUUCUGCUAAGGGAUAAAAAUUUAAAUCUGUGUCAUAAUUGCAGUAUUUGGAACAAAUCCUGGAUGAAUUAAACCAUCUGGUAAAAAAGAAGGAUGUGUCCUGGUUUUGGCUGGGAUAGUUAAUUUUCUUCCUAGAAACUGGUAUGGUGCUGUGUUUUGAAUUGCAGACGAGAAUAAUGUUGAUAACAAACCAAUCUUUUAGUUAUUUCUGAGCAGUGCUCACACAGAGCCAAGGACGUUUCAGCUUCAUAUUCUGUCCUGCCAGCAAGGGAACCAGGGAUGCAUGAGGAGGUGGAAGGAGACAGGACCGGGACAGGUGACCAAAGAGGGGGGACCAUGCUAUAUGGUGUCACAAUGAACAAUGGGGAGCUGACCCAGGGAUCUGCCACUGUAGGAACUGACUGGGCAUAGGUGCUGACCCUGAAUGGACCAGUGUGCUUUUAGUGACAAAUGGAGACAAAGGACGGUCAGUGUCUCACAGGACAACAAAUGGCUUGAAACAUAAAUAAAUUACAAUGAAA